CUCCAGCUGAGCAGUCUUCAGAUUUCAGUUCUUCUGACUUCCCAGCUGGCAGUUGCACAGCCUUGGUUUUCAGGGAACCUGUGCCACAGGAACGACCUUUUACUGCUUUGAAACAUGAGCAACAGAAGAAGUGGCUUGAAGAGUUGGACAAGCAGAAGGAAGAAGCUAGACUACGAAAAAUAGAAGAAAAACUAAAUUUCUCAAAGGGAGAAGAGCAUGACAGAUGGGCAAUGCAUUUUGAUUCUUUUAAGAGCCAUCUUAAUGCUAAUGCACAACACCCUUUCAAUGGAAUGCACAGAAAGCAGCCUGAAAGUCUCUACCUGUCACCUGACCCCAGGGAUCUGACUGCUUUUGUUCACCCUCUGUCACCUGCAGCUUUAGGCAACCCCAUGCCCUUACAGAUGGGAACUGCAGAAAAAGUUGCUAAAAAUGGUGCUUUGGAACAGAGUCAAAGAGUCAGUUUUCUCCGUUCCAUGACAGCUCUGCUGGACCCUGCACAGAUUGAGGAGAGGGACAGGAGGCGGC
rnacentral:lncRNA from 1 species